AUCACGUCGUUGUCUUCUUUGGGCACAGGCCUUAAAACCCCUAGAGCAAUACCAUGCUUUACAAAGGUAACUGAUACGUGCCAUGCUGCUUUGUUGACGUCGAGAAAUGACUCCGGACUUCGGGGGUCCACGGAUUUCCAUCCAGAUGGGGUAGAGGGAGACAACCACGCACAACGUUUCCCCUGCGUCUCACCUUGAGUGAGGGGGACAGGUGAGGUCACAGGCACUCCGUCCAGGGAGCA